rnacentral:rRNA from 1 species
UCUUCCCUCUUUCUUCGUGCUUAACACAUGCAAGUCGAACGAGAAGUGAAGACGGAAACCUUCGGGCGGAAGGCUUUAUUUCGAGUGGCGGACGGGUGAGUAACGCGUGGGUAACCUGCCUCAUACAGGGGGAUAACAGUUGGAAACGACUGUUAAUACCGCAUAAGACCACAGCACCGCAUGGUGCGGGGGUAAAAACUCCGGUGGUAUGAGAUGGACCCGCGUUCGAUUAGCCAGUUGGCGGGGUAACGGCCCACCAAAGCGACGAUCGAUAGCCGAUCUGAGAGGAUGACCGGCCACAUUGGGACUGGGACACGGCCCAAACUCCUACGGGAGGCAGCAGUGGGGAAUAUUGCACAAUGGGGGAAACCCUGAUGCAGCGACGCCGCGUGAGUGAAGAAGUAUUUCGGUAUGUAAAGCUCUAUCAGCAGGGAAGAAAAUGACGGUACCUGAGUAAGAAGCCCCGGCUAACUACGUG